rnacentral:rRNA from 1 species
CCUACGGGGGGCAGCAGUGGGGAAUAUUGGACAAUGGGGGCAACCCUGAUCCAGCCAUGCCGCGUGUGUGAAGAAGGCCCGCGGGUUGUAAAGCACUUUCAGUGAGGAAGAACGCCUGGUGGUUAAUACCCAUCAGGAAAGACAUCACUCACAGAAGAAGCACCGGCUAACUCCGUGCCAGCAGCCGCGGUAAUACGGAGGGUGCGAGCGUUAAUCGGAAUUACUGGGCGUAAAGCGCGCGUAGGUGGCUUGAUAAGCCGGUUGUGAAAGCCCCGGGCUCAACCUGGGAACGGCAUCCGGAACUGUCAAGCUAGAGUGCAGGAGAGGAAGGUAGAAUUCCCGGUGUAGCGGUGAAAUGCGUAGAGAUCGGGAGGAAUACCAGUGGCGAAGGCGGCCUUCUGGACUGACACUGACACUGAGGUGCGAAAGCGUGGGUAGCAAACAGGAUUAGAUACCCUGGUAGUC